GACGAACGCUGGCGGCGUGCUUAACACAUGCAAGUCGAGCGGUAAGGCCCUUUCGGGGGUACAUGAGCGGCGAACGGGUGAGUAACACGUGGGUGACCUGCCCUCAGCUCUGGGAUAAGCCCGGGAAACUGGGUCUAAUACCGGAUAUGACUUCAUGACGCAUGUUGUGGAGUGGAAAGCCUUGUGCGGCUGAGGAUGGGCCCGCGGCCUAUCAGCUUGUUGGUGGGGUGAUGGCCUGCCAAGGCGACGACGGGUAGCCGGCCUGAGAGGGCGACCGGCCACACUGGGACUGAGAUACGGCCCAGACUCCUACGGGAGGGCAGCAGUGGGGAAUCUUGCGCAAUGGGCGAAAGCCUGACGCAGCGACGCCGCGUGAGGGAUGACGGCCUGGUGUAAC
rnacentral:rRNA from 1 species